GAUGAUAGUAGUACUCCCUGCUCUUGUCUAAGCUUAGAAGCUAAGAAGGGUCAUCUGAUUACAUUUGGAUGGGAGACUACUUGAAAAUCUUAGGGCUAUAGGCU
rnacentral:rRNA from 1 species